CGGCCACAUGGCCCAGGCUCUUCUCCGAGUGAUCUCGGUGGACUGGAGUGGGUGGGAGGUGGCAG
ensembl:miRNA